rnacentral:rRNA from 1 species
UACGUAGGCAGCGAGCGUUGUUCGGAGUUACUGGGCGUAAAGGGUGUGUAGGCGGUUGUUUAAGUUUGGUGUGAAAUCUCCCGGCUCAACUGGGAGGGUGCGCCGAAUACUGAAUGACUUGGAGUGCGGGAGAGGAGAGUGGAAUUCCUGGUGUAGCGGUGAAAUGCGUAGAUAUCAGGAGGAACACCGGUGGUGUAGACGGCUCUCUGGACCGUAACUGACGCUGAGACACGAAGGCGUGGGUAGCAAACAGG